rnacentral:rRNA from 1 species
AAUAUUGGGCAAUGGGGGAAACCCAGACCCAGCAACGCCGCGUGACGGAAGAAGGCUAUCCGGUUGUAAUCUUCUUCGACGAGGGACGUAAAAAAUGACGGUACCUCGAAAACAAGCUCCGGCUAACUACGUGCCAGCAGCCGCGGUAAUACGUAGGGAGCAAGCGUUGUCCGGAUUUACUGGGUGUAGAGGGCGCGUAGGCGGGACUGCAAGUCUGGCGUGAAAUCUAGGGGCUUAACCCCUAAACUGCGUUGGAAACUGUGGUUCUUGAGUGGUGGAGAGGCAGGCGGAAUUCCUAGUGUAGCGGUGAAAUGCGUAGAUAUUAGGAGGAACACCAGUGGCGAAGGCGGCCUGCUGGACAUUAACUGACGCUGAGGCGCGAAAGCGUGGGGAGCAAAC